rnacentral:misc_RNA from 1 species
GAAAUGCGAUAAGUAGUGUGAAUUGCAGAAUUCAGUGAAUCAUCGAAUCUUUGAACGCACAUUGCGCCCCUCGGUAUUCCGUGGGGCAUGCCUGUUCGAGCGUCAUCUACACCCUCAAGCUCUGCUUGGUGUUGGGCGUCUGUCCCGCCUCCGCGCGCGGACUCGCCCCAAAUGCAUUGGCAGCGGUUCCUUGCCCCCCUCUUUGCGCAGCACAUUGCCAUUCGAGGCGGCGGCGGCCCGCGUCCAACAAGCUCAACCCCCCCGUCUUUGACCUCGGAUCAGGUAGGGAUACCCGCUGGACUUAAGC